CAGUCGCCGCGGUAAUACGAAGGGGGCUAGCGUUGUUCGGAAUUACUGGGCGUAAAGGGCGCGUAGGCGGCGAUCAAAGUCAGGCGUGAAAUUCCUGGGCUCAACCUGGGGGCUGCGUUUGAUACUUGAUUGCUAGAGUGGGGAAGAGGGUCGUGGAAUUCCCAGUGUAGAGGUGAAAUUCGUAGAUAUUGGGAAGAACACCGGUGGCGAAGGCGGCGACCUGGUCCUUGACUGACGCUGAGGCGCGAAAGCGUGGGGAGCAAACAGGAUUAGAGACCCGAGUAGUCCCUGUCUCUUAUAC
rnacentral:rRNA from 1 species